GGCUCCAGCCCGUUUUUCCGCCGCUCGCCAGGUGUGGUUUUCUGUCUGGUUUUUUCUGCGCAUUUCCCUUGCCCAUUUCAUGCGGUAGUGUUCGAUAGUUUUCGAUUUGAUAGAGAGAGAGCUAGACGUAGAGCGGUGGAGAAGAGGAGGCGAUUCCGUCCCCUUUCCCCCUGCUGGAGCUUAAUUUUCUCUUUGAUUCACGGUUGCCAUGGUUCCAGGGUAUUGUUGUGGAAAGCUCUUGUAGACGCAGCUAUUUGUUCAGCUUCGGGGGACUUCUUGGUGAUAAUGGAGGCUUUGACAACGCUCUAUUCAAGUUAUAUAUGAAUCAUUGAAUCAUUGAAGAGGAAAUUAUCAUGUGCUUGAAGAAGGAAUGUUGUCAGCCCCCAUUGUUAUACUAAACUCUCUGAUGGCUUUAGUCUGUUCCUCUCUUUACUGUUGCACUGCAGUUUCCCAGUGUCGUAGUUCUGUAUUUAGGCCAUAAUUAAUCUUUUUUGCUUAUGUAUCUUAUUGUUUGUUUGCACAUCUCAUGGAAUUUCAGUGCUUUUCCUCUGCAAAUUAAAUGUAAUUAUCAGAGUAUUUCCUCCCCUGUUUUUUUGUAUUAUAUAUGUGCUCAUGAAGUCAUGGAGCUGGGUUUGCUGUAAUGUAUGUACUGUAUUGUAGUUUUGAUUUCUUCACGCUUUGCUUUUGCUAGUUCCAUCAUGUAGAUAACUAGGUCUUUUGCGUUGUAUAUAAUGUCAGAUUGUAGGGGAGCAGUAAAUGAAAAUGUUUCCUGCAAUAGAUUGCCAACUUUUCAUUAUUAUGUACAUAGCAUUUUUCUUCAAGUUUCUGAGAUCAUUAUUUGCUAUUUUAUCUCACAUUUAGAACGAGUUCUUGUGUCAUUGUGAGUAUAUCAAGUUCAGUUAUUGUUCUUUGCUUGCUUCCCAUCUGCAAUUUUGAAAAAGUAAAUGUCAAUAUUUGCAAUAAUAUGAACAAGAAACUCUUGUGACAUUGUCAAUACAUGUUCCCACAAGGUGCUUACUGUAAUUUGCCAGAAUGCCCUGAUUUGCUUCUGGUUAAUUUCUGCGUUCUUAGAUUGUAUUUUGCUGUACUUAUUUUAUAGUAAUUCAUGUGUAUUUAGACUGUAAAUUUUCCUUGUGAAGCACUAUAAUUCAUGUGGUCCUUCACUGUGCUUUACUUUCAGAGUAAUUCCUUAGAAUGUAUACUGUAAUUCCAGAGCUUUAGUCACUGUAAAUCCUUGGUGUUCACAUUGUAAUUUCCUGUGAUUUUUCAUUGUUGUCAUUCCUUGGUGUUUGCACUGCAAUUUCUACUUAUUUACUCAGUGAAUUUUCUCUGAUGUGUCUAAAAUGUUGUCUUUGUGCCUACUUCAUUGUUGUCAUUCCUGCAGUGUGCUUUUUCAGUUUGAUUUCAAUGUAAUUUUUUAUGUGUAAUUUACAGAAUAGUCACUGUAAAAGUUGUAGGUAUUACAGUGCAAUACCUAAGAUUAUUUUAGGGAAUUACACUCUGUAAACACCCCACUUUUUACAUUGUAUAUACUGUAGGUAUUUACAGUGGAGCUCCUCUGAUUUUUUUCACUGCAUAUCCUCAGUUGUCUUAAUGCAAUAUCCCACAUUUAUCAUAGUCCAUGCUUUAUCUCUAAUUUCCUGGAUUUCUGACAAUGUAAAUUGCAGCUACAUUACACUGUAAUGCAUCACAUAUUUUCAUGUGUAUUUAGAAUGCUUUUUUAACUCUGUAUUUCCUGUUUGGUUCACUGUUUUUACCCUGAUCUAAAUAAAUUUCAGUGUUGCUUUCAGUCAGUUAGUGUGACGCCCGGAUAAUUAGGCUACAGUAAUCCCCUGCUAAUGACUGCCAAGUCAUCACAAUUAGUUUCCCAAUCAUCACUUUGUUCCAAAUCAAACUCAAAUUCAAAUUCAAAUUGCAUGUCAAAUUGUUUUCUUCAAAAUUUAAAAGACAAAAUGUUCGUUGGGUUGCAAAUAUUCUCUAAGUAAUUAACAUAUAAUAACCAACAUUUUAUAAGGUAUUUAAAUGCCCCCAAAAAAUAAUUAAAACAGGGUCAAAACAGUAACUUAAAAUGCCUUUCCAAAUUGUAAAAUUCCAAAACAUUUAUGUAACUCCGAAACCUUUUUGUGGCAGAUUCUAAAUUAGCAACACUAUUUAUGGACCAAGUUUCACAUUUUAUAAAACUAGUUUACUAUUAAAAUUAAAGUCAAAACAGAAAGAAUAAAAGUUAUAGAACAAUAAGAAAAGAACAAGAGCUAAAGUGCACUGUGCACUUGAGCCCACUAGCUACAGUACCGGCCCAACCCACCACAGCGGUCAUCUCCUUCCUGUGUUCACCAGAGGCGCCAUGGACGCAGCACGCACGUCAACGCCGCCGAUGCACACGCGUCGUUGAUCCUGCGGUUCAACGGAGGGGAUAAGAGCAAGCCCCUGCACCCCCUCACUCUUCCCCUGUAACCCUAGCACGCCCGUUCCCCUCGCUCGUCUCUCUCCCCCUCGAGUUCGUCCGCGCCCAAAGACGCAAUCGCCGCCGCCCCAUCGUUACAAUGGCCACCGAGUUCCCCGCGGGCUGACACCUUGCCAGGAGACGCGCCGGGCUCCUCUACUUCGACUACAACCACUAGUUCGAGCCGGGGCGCCGUCAAUCGUCGGGAUCGAGCCUUCUUCCCCAUCGUCCACCGCAUGCCUCUCGCCGUCGUGCCGCCCCUCCGGUUCGCCCCCAACCUCCUCGAGCUCACCAUUAACUCCGGGACUCUGAGACCGCUGCCGAUGUUCGUGUGUUCGACUACAUCAAAGACGACCCCUCCUACUUGCCAGAACAACCAGG